GGGAUGGGACAGCAUCUGGAGCUGAACCGUUCUCCUUUUUUGAUCAGAAGUUUUGUUGGACUCACUUGGGACGUUGUUGUUUUGCCAUGUUGUGAAAAUUCUUCACUGUCAUUGUGGUAUUUGGAACAAUUUAAUUAUGACCAUGUUGGUUAACUUGAUGUUAGUAAAACUUUGGCUCAAUGUUGGUAAAACUUAAAGUUAAGGGUAAUAUACACUCAAAAAAAUGGUUUUGUGCCACUGUUCAUUUUACCCAGGUAUUUAUUGUUAAAACAACACAAGUGUAUUUCUUUUUCCACCAAAACACUAUUGUAUUGUGCUCUAUUAAUUUAAACUGUUUAAGUUUCCAUUUUACUUGAUUAUCAAUCGUUAAACUAACGUAAACGGUUUAAUUUCGCCGUUCAAAAAACCGGAUAUGACGUUUCCAACGCAUUUUAUGAAGACGGCGCGAAGGAGGUGUAUCAUGGCGUCGGAGCUAGAAGUACCAGUCAGCAUACAUUGAUCACUGGUUUCUUCAUCGCUGCCUAAUUUUGGCGAAAUGAAGGAAUGUCACAACUUUACUGACGGAGAAAAAAAGUUUUGGCUAAGAGGAAUGCACGCAGUUGUAAAUGUGAACUGGUGGAUGGUUAAGAAGCUGAUGUGUCUUCUAGAAAUCUAAACAAAUUUGUGCAGAAUAUGAGACAGGCAGAAUAACCAUAGGCCCAUUAGUGUCAACUGUCUUUGCCAAUGGGUGGAUCCACACUGCAAAACUUAUGAAGAUGAUUGCAAACCGAAGAACAGUCCUUGGACAAAGCAUUAAACCCUCUUGGUCCCCACUACACAGACUAAUGACGUUGAAGUACCCAAAUGAAGACACUAGCAGUGUUAUUAUGGAGUAUAUGGAUACAGACGUUGGCAGCACUCAGGAGGUGAUCCAGAGGAAUCAUGGGAAUCUAUGUCAUACGAUUUGAAGGUGCAGACAUUGAAGACAGCACAGCAGAUGUUGGAGUGUUGGAAGAU